UACAGGGGGUGCAAACGUUGCUCGGAAUUAUUGGGCGUAAAGCGCGCGUAGGCGGCCACUUAAGUCGGAUGUGAAAGCCCCUGGCUCAACUGGGGAAGUGCACCCGAAACUGCUUGGCUUGAGUACCGGAGAGGAUGGCGGAAUUCCCCAAGUAGAGGUGAAAUUCGUAGAUAUGGGGAGGAACACCGGUGGCGAAGGCGGCCAUCUGGACGGAUACUGACGCUGAGACGCGAAAGCGGUGGGUAGCAAACGAGG
rnacentral:rRNA from 1 species